CCGAAGUCGGAGCUGGAAUGUAAGUUAAGGUACGACCAACAGUAGGUUUGCUUUUACAUAGAGAGGUUAGUAGACAUGAAAACAAUCUAAAGGUUAGAAAAAUGGCCAUAAUGACAAAUACAGCUAAUAGCAAAAAGUACAAAAUAUUCUUAAUUAUUAAAGUCAACCAUGUUCCUAGCCCUCAUGUCCAAUCCCAAUCCCCAAAGAAGCCAGUAUCCUGUUUGAUAUCCUGUACUAAGUCAUGUAAAUAUUUUAUAUGUUUAUGGAUCAUAGUGCCAUGGUCAGAUAUGUUAAAACAGCACAUACCUUCAAUAGCUUCGCAGCCUAAGUCAUGUUUCAUUAG